GCUGCUUUAGUGUAAUGGUUAUCAUUCGAGCCUUCCAAGCCCGAGAUCGGGGUUCGAUUCCCCGGAGCAGCA
rnacentral:tRNA from 1 species